rnacentral:lncRNA from 1 species
AACGCUACAGUUUUGAAGAAACAUUGCACCUAAUUUCAAGCUUCCUUCAUCAUAUUUUUACAUUUCUUUUUCAAAAGUUGGGCGUUGGAGAUAGCUUUUCAGUUUCAACUUGUGCAAAUGAUAAGUGAUGUGGACCAAUAAGAACUAAGCAAAGAGUUCUAUAUAAGGAGGCAAGAAAGGAGUUGUCAAGGUUGGACUCCCUUAGCACUUGUUGCCGCACAUGCUAGAAUAGGAAGUAAGGAGUAAGCCAAUCAAAAUAGAGAAGCCAAACAAAAGAGCGAGACAGUAGCCACUAGCCAUUACAGUUAUUCAACAGAAAUAGGAAUAAGGAGCAAGGAGUUUGACGAGCUUGGGACGGGAGCACCAUGGUCAACCAACCAAAUAAACCCCAAAGUUUGUCAUUUUUGCCUUUUAUUCUCUUUCUAUAUUUUAUUUGUGUUGAUAUAUUUGUAAUAAUGCUAGGCUAAAUAUCUAGAUCUAGUUAUGGGAUUUAUCUAUUAAUUUAAAAUGCAACUUUGCAUUGUUUGAUUUAUGUCUAAAUGCUUAAAUUCCUGAUUUAAUGUGUUUGAGCUUAAUGCCUG